rnacentral:rRNA from 1 species
ACUCUCGGCAACGGAUAUCUUGGCUCUCGCAUCAAUGAAGAAUGUAGCGAAAUGCGAUACCUAGUGUGAAUUGCAAAAUCCCGCGAACCAUCGAGUCUUUGAACGCAAGUUGCACCCGAGGCCACUCGGCCGAGGGCACGCCUGCCUGGGCGUCACGCCAAAACACGCUCCCAACCCCCUCAUCGGGAAUCAGGAUGCGGCAUCUAGUCCCUCGUCUCGCAAGGGGCGGUGGACCGAAGAUCGGGCUGCCGGCGUAUUGCGCCGGACACAACGCAUGGUGGGCGUCCUUGCUUUAUCAACGCAGUGCAUCCGACGCGCAGCCAGCAUGAUGGCCUCAAAAUGACCCAGCAAACGAAGCGCACGUCGCUUCAACCGCGACCCCAGGUCAGGCGGGACUACCCGCUGAGUUUAAGCAUAUAAAUAAGCGGAGGAGAAGAAACUUACAAGGAUUCCCCUAGUAACGGCGAGCGAACCGGGAGCAGCCCAGCUUGAGAAUCGUGCGGCUGUGCCGUUCGAAUUGUAGUCUGGAGAGGCGUCCUCAGCGACGGACCGGGCCCAAGUCCCCUGGAAAGGGGCGCCUGGGAGGGUGAGAGCCCCGUCCGACCCGGACCCUGUCGCCCCACGAGGCGCCGUCAACGAGUCGGGUUGUUUGGGAAUGCAGCCCAAAUCGGGCGGUAGACUCCGUCCAAGGCUAAAUACAGGCGAGAGACCGAUAGCGAACAAGUACCGCGUGGGAAAGAUGAAAAGGACUUUGAAAAGAGAGUCAAAGAGUGCUUGAAAUUGUCGGGAGGGAAGCGGAUGGGGGCCGGCGAUGCGCCCCGGCCGUAUGCGGAACGGCUCUUGCUGGUCCGCCACUCGGCUCGGGGUGUGGAAUGUUGUCGGCCGUGCCGGCGGCCAAAGCCCGGGGGCCCUAGGUGCCCCCGGUGGUCGUCGUCGGCAUAGCUGGUACCCGCGCGCCGAAAGGCGUGUCCCUCGGGGCACUGCGCUGCAACAGCCUGCGGGCUCCCCAUUCGACCCAUCUUGAAACACAGACCAAGGAGUCUGACAUGCGUGCGAGUCGACGGGUUCUGAAACCUGGGAUGCGCAAGGAAGCUGACGAGCGGGAGGCCCUCACGGGCCGCACCGCUGGCCGACCCUGAUCUUCUGUGAAGGGUUCGAGUUGGAGCACGCCUGUCGGGACCUGAAAGAUGGUGAACUAUGCCUGAGCGGGGCGAAGCCAAAGGAAACUCUGGUGGAGGCUCGAAGCGAUACUGACGUGCAAAUCGUUCUUCUGACUUGGGUAUAGGGGCGAAAGACUAAUCGAACCAUCUAGUAGCUGGUUCCCUCCGAAGUUUCCCUCAGGAUAGUUGGAGCCCAUUACGAGUUCUAUCAGGUAAAGCUAAUGAUUAGAGGAAUCGGGGACGCAACGUCCUCGACCUAUUCUCAAACUUUAAAUAGGUAGGAUGGCGCGGCUGCUUCGGUGAGCCGUGCCACGGAAUCGGGUGCUCCAAGUGGGCCAUUUUUGGUAAGCAGAACUGGCGAUGCGGGAUGAACCCGAAGCCAGGUUACAGUGCCCAACUGCGCGCUAACCUAGAACCCACAAAGGGUGUUGGUCGAUUAAGACAGCAGGACGGUGGUCAUGGAAGUCGAAAUCCGCUAAGGAGUGUGUAACAACUCGCCUACCGAAUCAACUAGCCCAGAAAAUGGAUGGCGCUGAAGCGUGCGACCCACACCCGGCCAUCUGGGCGAGCGCCAUGCCCCGAUGAGUAGGAGGGCGCGGCGGCCGCUGCAAAACCCGGGGCGCGAGCCCGGGCGGAGUGGCCGUCGGUGCAGAUCUUGGUGGUAGUAGCAAAUAUUCAAAUGAGAACUUUGAAGGACGAAGAGGAGAAAGGUUCCAUGUGAACGGCACUUGCACAUGGGUAAGCCGAUCCUAAGGGACGGGGUAACCCCGGUAGAUAGCGCGAUCACACGCAUCCCCCGAAAGGGAAUCGGGUUAAGAUUUCCCGAGCCGGGAUGUGGCGGUUGAAGGUGACGUUAGGAAGUCCGGAGACGCCGGCGGGGGCCUCGGGAAGAGUUAUCUUUUCUGCUUAACGACCUGCCAACCCUGGAAACGGUUCAGCCGGAGGUAGGGUCCAGUGGCCGGAAGAGCACCGCACAUCGCGCGGUGUCCGGUGCGCCCCCGGCGGCCCAUGAAAAUCCGGAGGACCGAGUACCGUUCAUGCCCGGUCGUACUCAUAACCGCAUCAGGUCUCCAAGGUGAACAACCUCUGGCCAAUGGAACAAUGUAGGCAAGGGAAGUCGGCAAAACGGAUCCGUAACUUCGGGAAAAGGAUUGGCUCUGAGGACUGGGCUCGGGGGUCCCGGCCCCGAACCCGUCGGCUGUCGGCGGAUUGCUCGAGCUGCUCACGCGGCGAGAGCGGGUCGCCGCGUGCCGGCCGGGGGACGGACCGGGAAUCGCCCCUUCGGGGGCUUUCCCCGAGCAUGAAACAGUCGACUCAGAACUGGUCCGGACAAGGGGAAUCCGACUGUUUAAUUAAAACAAAGCAUUGCGAUUGAAAGUGCGUUAUAUCGACUAGAGGGGGGGUGGGUGAAUAGGCGAUUUUUAUGGAAGUCUUCAAAAUGUGGAAGUUAUGAAGACAAACGAUAGAAAUAAAUCUAUUACCAUGCAGCGGAAGGUAGACUACACCUAGACAAGCCAUAGUCAAGUAUUCAAUGAAGUGAAAGCACAAUGACUUAAUAACAGCAAUGUAGUAAGGAUCAGGUAGGAAGAUAUUAUGAAGCCAUACAGAGCAUGCAGUCACUCAGUGAAGACAAAAGAUAGUGCAAACAUACAAUGACUUCACAAGGAGCAACAGUAAGUAAAGGGAAGGGAAGAUGAAACCAGUGACUCGUUGAAGACAAUGAUUUGUUGGACCAGUUCCAGUUGCUGUGACAACUGUACAUCUGGUUGGGGCGGCUAGGUAUUUAAACCUUAGGACACACAGUCCCGGACACCCAGUCCUGAACAUGCAGCUCAGGACACCCAGUCCUCACCGUAUUCCCCUUGAGCUAAGGUCACACAUACCUCCCCCAAUCACUCUGGUAAGUCUUCAAGGUAGACUCCCAAACCUUCACAGACUUCGUUCACCGGCAAUCCACAAUGUCUCUUGGAUGCUCAGAACGCGACGCCUAACUGGCUGGAGGAUGCACAGUCCUCAAGUGUAAUAAGUCUUCAGAUCACACAGAUAAGAAGACUUAGUGCUGCCCAAUUCUCUCUGGCUCUGGGUGGUUAGGGCUUUAUCCUUGCAAGGAAUUAUCUCUCAAAGGCUUCAAGGUGGGUUGCUCUCAAACG